GGUUGCAUGGUCUAGUUGGUUAUGACAUUCGCCUCACACGCGAGAGGUCUCGAGUUCGAUCCUCGAUGGAAUCA
rnacentral:tRNA from 1 species